UUCCCUCUGCACCGUCACCAGAACGCCUGCGUGUGGCGAGGGAGAUUGCCGCCAUUGACAAUCUCGACGCGCGUCGUCCACCUGGGCUCGUGAAGCAAUCCGAGCGAAAGGAGGAGGAUCUGGCGGGGUGUUACCCUCGCAAUUGGUGUGCGCAGCUAGCUUGGAGCCCGGUAAUCGCUCGCCGGAGGGCGUGCGCAGGCCUGGUCCACGACCGACCGUCGACCAACCGGGGUGAGUCAUCCGCGCCCGUAAAAUCACCCACCUCUGAUUCGCAGACAACCCCAUUACGCAUAAAACCCCAGGAUUCCGCUAUUAGUGCGUCGGCGCCCUGGAUUGCGGUUCCCCGAUGAUGGCGCCGCCGUGUGGUGACCUGGCCACCGUGCGCGGGCAGUAGGUUUAGGGGAGAAGGUGGCCGUGUUCAUGCGAACCGUUGGAUGCGAAAGGUGCGGCCCUGAUUAGAAAUAGACUACCGAUUCGGCCAGGGCCUCUAGCGGCCGUCGAUCCCAAAUCCUGUGGCGGGGGAUGGUUAAGUGAUUCAUUGAAUAUGGGCCGCAGAUCUCUAAUUGAAUGGGCUAUGUAGUGCACCGGUUCGUCGCGGAUUAGAUGUAAUCCUAUGCGUCGGUUUAUAAUCCAACGGCCAGGAACCCUUGGUACCCCUUCGCGGGUACGUUUUUCAAAAAGGCCCCUGUCGUUUAUAUAUAUAAACCCGCGCUCCACUCGGGUGUUCCCCUGGGUCUGAGGCAUUUUUACCCGAGACCCCCUGGAGUUGCUUGUAAAUGAGGCCCGAUCCAGAACUGUGUUAAAUCGAUUAAAUGAAUUAGAAAUUGGAUUUUUAAUAUGAAAAUAAACCCUAGAACUUGUAUAGAUCAUAGAAAAUCCAUUUUUAGUCCAAAUUGAGCCAUUCCAGUUUCUAAAAUUUUGUAAUAUUAUUCUCUAACACUUAGAGUCACUGUUUUGACAUGAACUCUGUUAGAAAAUUUAUUUGUCAUUUAAUUCUAUUUCAAGCACAUUAAAUCUUAGGAAAUUCAUAACUUGAAUUGUAUAACUCCAAAUUUAAUGGUUCCAGUUCCAAUGAUUUCAUUUUAAUAUGUAGAUUUUUACUGUAUAUUUUAUUUGCAUGUUUGAUGUGGUGUUAAUUUUUGCUAUACUAUGUAUGUAUUGUGUUGAUGCGAAUAGACGAGCAAGCUACUGUGGAAACUGAGGUUCAACAAGUAGAGAUAGCUGAGCAGGAGCUCAUUGAAGG
rnacentral:lncRNA from 1 species